GGGGGGGGCAUGAAACUUGUGGUGUCAGUGUUGUUGUUGGUGCAAACUUUGCUGCUGGAUGCGUUGCAGGUGCCUCAACAUGUCCGUUAGACAUUGCAAACACUCGCCGUCAAAUAGAGAAGGAUACAGUCCAAGCAUUGAGGAUGACAACAAGACAAGACACUGGUGGAAAUAUGGAGGUAUGGAUUUUGGUUUUGUUGAUUACAACUUAGAAGGUUGAUUUUAUGGAACAGGGAUGGAGGAAUGAAGGGACUUUUCACAGGAGUUGGUCUUCUGUUGGGAUUGUGGUGUCCUUAAUUUUAUUAAGUUGUCAAGUAUCUUCUACACGGCUACACAACACAACACUAGAAUACCACAACACAUUGCCAUCAAUAUCAUUUGGAAAUGCCCAAAGACUAGAAUUACUACAACUCUAAAUCAUGAAAAUUGGACCCACAAACUCUUUCCGUAUGAUUGAUUUUAGUAAUCUAGAAUCCUUGAUUGCUUAUUUGUUCAAGUAUAUGUAAAUAUAUGCAUGUUGAUGACAGAUUCAUAGUAUAUUUCUAAAUGGAUAAUAUUCUUCACCUGGUUCA